GAAAUGCUACAUUUGAAAGAGAUGGAAUGAUAAAAAGAAUUACCUGACAUCUUGCUACUCCAAGUGAGAUCACCAUCGGAAGACGUCUUGUGUUUUAACAAGAGUCCCAGUAACUGAUGGUGCUGAGCAGAUAGCAGGUUCCUCAUUGUUUUUGGUGGAAUGAUGACCCGGAGACUGUGUAAUACAACUGCACUAUCGGACAGAUGAGGACAGCUGAAGUUCACAUUUCGUCUCAUGUCACCCACCCUGAAUGCGGGAUGAUUAGACGACAACAGAGAGAUACUAGCUAUAAGAUGCUUUAUAAUGGAGGCUCACGGUCCUAAAGGUUUGCAACUAACUUUUCUUACUUCAUACCAUGUGGAACGUAAACAUGACUGCAUGUAAAUUGAGGAAAUGGCAAGUCUCAGGAUAUCGAGACCCAAGACUAAAUCUCCGUGGCUCUCUGAGCAGCUGUACACCUCGUUGAUGGUUCUCCAGGGAGUGGCAAAAAGAAUUAAAAAAUCUUAUUAUAUGCCUCUCGAUA